rnacentral:rRNA from 1 species
GACGAACGCUGGCGGCGUGCUUAACACAUGCAAGUCGAACGGAAAGGCCCUGCUUUUGUGGGGUGCUCGAGUGGCGAACGGGUGAGUAACACGUGAGUAACCUGCCCUUGACUUUGGGAUAACUUCAGGAAACUGGGGCUAAUACCGGAUAGGAGCUCCUGCUGCAUGGUGGGGGUUGGAAAGUUUCGGCGGUUGGGGAUGGACUCGCGGCUUAUCAGCUUGUUGGUGGGGUAGUGGCUUACCAAGGCUUUGACGGGUAGCCGGCCUGAGAGGGUGACCGGCCACAUUGGGACUGAGAUACGGCCCAGACUCCUACGGGAGGCAGCAGUGGGGAAUAUUGCACAAUGGGCGGAAGCCUGAUGCAGCAACGCCGCGUGCGGGAUGACGGCCUUCGGGUUGUAAACCGCUUUCGCCAGUGACGAAGCGUGAGUGACGGUAAUGGGUAAAGAAGCACCGGCUAACUACGUA